rnacentral:rRNA from 1 species
UACGAAGGGGGCUAGCGUUGCUCGGAAUUACUGGGCGUAAAGGGCGCGUAGGCGGAUAUCUAAGUUGGGGGUGAAAGCCCGGGGCUCAACCUCGGAAUAGCCUUCAAUACUGGAUAUCUUGAGUACGGGAGAGGUGAGUGGAACUCCGAGUGUAGAGGUGAAAUUCGUAGAUAUUCGGAAGAACACCAGUGGCGAAGGCGACUCACUGGCCCGUUACUGACGCUGAGGCACGAAAGCGUGGGGAGCAAACAGG